GUUGCCAGCACGUUAUGUGGGGACUCGUAAGAGACUGCCGGGGUCAACUCGGAGGAAGUGGGGACGACGUCAAGGUCAUCAUGCCCCUUAUGUCCAGGGCUUCACACAUGCUACAAUGGCCAGUACAGAGGGCUGCGAGACCGUGAGGUGGAGCGAAUCCCUUAAAGCUGGUCUCAGUUCGGAUCGGGGUCUGCAACUCGACCCCGUGAAGUCGGAGUCGCUAGUAAUCGCAGAUCAGCAACGCUGCGGUGAAUACGUUCCCGGGCCUU
rnacentral:rRNA from 1 species